ACAAAUUAUAAAAGUUAAUUGUAUCCUACCAUUUCUUAUUGAAGACUGAAAUACAAUAUAUUAUUGUACUUAUUUUUCUUUCUCUUUAUCCCAUAGAAAGCUCGUAACCAAUCAAAUCUACAACUGUGACCUAAAGAAACUUAAAAGAAACCUAUAUUUAAGUUAAAGAAAUUAUCUUUUGUAAAAUAAACAUACCCAAGCCAAAGAGUUGUAUCUGACCCAUACGAUUUGAUUCAAAAAACAUACAAUACACGACCCUUUUACGAGAAUCAGAAACAGUCCAAUAAAUGUAGCAAACCAAAA
rnacentral:misc_RNA from 1 species